AACGAACGCUGGCGGCAUGCCUAACACAUGCAAGUCGAACGAACCCUUCGGGGUGAGUGGCGCACGGGUGCGUAACGCGUGGGAAUCUGCCCUUUGCUUCGGAAUAACAGUUAGAAAUGACUGCUAAUACCGGAUGAUGUCUUCGGACCAAAGAUUUAUCGGCAAGGGAUGAGCCCGCGGAGGAUUCGGUAGUUGGUGGGGUAAAGGCCUACCAAGCCGACGAUCCUUAGCUGGUCUGAGAGGAUGAUCAGCCACACUGGGACUGAGACACGGCCCAGACUCCUACGGGAGGCAGCAGUGGGGAAUAUUGGACAAUGGGGGAAACCCUGAUCCAGCAAUGCCGCGUGAGUGAUGAAGGCCUUAGGGUUGUAAAGCUCUUUUACCAGGGAUGAUAAUGACAGUACCUGGAGAAUAAGCUCCGGCUAACUCCGUGCCAGCCGCCGCCGUAAUAC
rnacentral:rRNA from 1 species